rnacentral:rRNA from 1 species
AGAGAGCUUGAUUGCAAGACAUACAGGUCGAGCAAGGAUGAAAAUCGGACUUAGUGAUCCGGUGGUUCUGCGUGGAAGGGCCAUCGCUCAACGGAUAAAAGCUACCCUGGGGAUAACAGGCUUAUCUCCCCCAAGAGUCCACAUCGACGGGGAGGUUUGGCACCUCGAUGUCGGCUCAUCACAUCCUGGGGCUGUAGUAGGUCCCAAGGGUUGGGCUGUUCGCCCAUUAAAGUGGUACGCGAGCUGGGUUCAGAACGUCGUGAGACAGUUCGGUCCCUAUCCGUCGCAGGCGUAGGAAAUUUGAGAAGACCUGUCCUUAGUACGAGAGGACCGGGAUGGACGUACCUCUGGUGUACCAGUUGUCUGCCAAGGGCAUGGCUGGGUAGCUAUGUACGGAAUGGAUAAGCGCUGAAAGCAUCUAAGCGCGAAGCCAACUUCAAGAUAAGAUUUCCCACCGCAGGGUAAGACCCCAGAAAGACUAUCUGGUUGAUAGGUCGAAGGUGUAAGUGCAGCAAUGUAUUUAGCUUAUCGAUACUAAUAGGUCGAGGACUUGACCAAUAUUUAUUUGAUGUUCAUUCAUUAAGAUAUAUGUGUAGUUUUUAGAGUGCUAACUCUAAAGAAACUAGUGUUACUAGGUUCUAUAAACUUAUUAAAAACUUAAUAGAAAUAUUAAGCAUAAAGAUUAUGUGGUUACAAUAGCAGAGAGGAUACACCUGUUCCCAUUCCGAACACAGAAGUUAAGCUCUCUAGCGCUGAUGGUACUUGGUGGGAAACUGCCUGGGAGAGUAGGACGUAGCCACGUAAUUUUUUUUAUUUUUUGUCAAAAAAAACAAAAAAUACGUAUUUCUUUUUUCAUUUCGGGAAAACUAAACACAGGAAUUAUGGACUUUAUAAAAAUUUAAUUCUUGAGGAGUGAUAUAAGUGAAAAAAGUUGCUUUAAUUUUAGCUAUAAUAGGUGCGCUUAACUGGGGUGCAAUUGGUAUUCUAGGUACAGACUUAAUAGGUAGUAUCUUUGGUGGAACAUAUGAAAUGGUAAGUAGAAUAAUAUACUUCAUUGUAGGUUUAGCUGGAUUAUACUUAAUACCAAGUUUAAUGUCUGAUGAUAGAGAAUAAUUUAUGCUUUUAUGUUAAAUACCUCAUUCUAAAUGUUUAGAAUGAGGUAUUUAAUUUUAUAAAAAUAUUAAUUUGUUUCUUUUUUAAUGGUAAAAUAGAUAAGAAUUGAAGUUUUAAAAAGAAGUAUUAUGUAAAAAAGGAGUACUAUUAAUAUAUGUUUAUUAUUAAUGAAUUAAAUAAGAUUGUAAAUGAAGAAGUAAUAUCUUUUCAUAUGCCUGGUCAUAAAAAGGGACAGGUUUAUAAAAAGUUAGGAUAUAAAGAUAUACUAAAAAAUUUGUAUAAAAUGGAUACAACUGAGAUAUUAGGAACAGAUAAUUUACACUUUCCGGAAGGAAUUAUAAAAAAUUCACAAAAAAAAGCAUCAAGAGUAUUUAAAAGUGAUUAUACUUGCUAUUUAGUAAAUGGUAGUAGCUGUGGAAUACAAUCUGCAAUAAUGUCAGUAUGUAGUCCUAAAAGUAAAAUAAUAACAAAUAGAGACUGUCAUCAGUCUGUUAUAAAUGGAUGUAUUUUAGGAGAUAUAGAUAUAGAGUAUGUGCCUUGUGAGAUAAGUGAAGAGACAAAUGUCUUAAAAGGGAUAUCUAUAAGUAAUGUGAUUGAUAUAAUAGAUAAAAACUUGGAUGCAAAAGCAGUACUGCUUACUUAUCCUACAUAUUAUGGAAUGACAUAUGAUUUAGAAUACAUAUGUAAUUAUGCACAUAGCAAAAAGAUGGUAGUGAUAGUAGAUGAAGCACAUGGUGCGCAUUUAGGGCUUAGCGAGAGGCUUCCUAAAACAGCUCUUGAGCAAGGUGCAGAUAUAGUUGUACAGAGUACACAUAAAACUCUUCCAGCAUUUACACAAUCGUCAAUGAUACAUAUACAGGGAGACCGAGUUGAUAUAGAUAAAAUAUUGAACAUGUUAAGAAUUACAGAAUCUUCAAGCCCUUCAUAUUUAUUAUUAUCUUCUCUGGAAUUAGCAGUAGAUAUAUAUGAAAAUAAAGGAAAAGAAUUAAUGGAAGAGCUUUUAAAUAAUAUUAUAACUUUCAAAAAUAAAGUUGAUUCAAAUAUUAAUAUAUACGACACAAAUGAUAAAACAAAAAUAUUUAUAUCAUCUAAAAACAUGGGUUUAACAGGUUAUGAACUAGAAAAUAUUUUGAGAAAUAAAUAUAACAUACAAGUGGAGUUAUCUAAUUAUUAUGGAGUUCUUUUAAUAUGUACAAUAGGAAAUACUGCUGAGGAUUUCUC